rnacentral:rRNA from 1 species
UACGGAGGAUGCAAGCGUUAUCCGGAAUUAUUGGGCGUAAAGCGUCCGCAGGUGGCUCAUCAAGUCUGCUGUCAAAGGCAGGGGCUUAACCCCUGAAAGGCAGUGGAAACUGGGGAGCUAGAGUGCAGUAGGGGUAGAGGGAAUUCCCGGUGUAGCGGUGAAAUGCGUAGAGAUCGGGAAGAACAUCGGUGGCGAAAGCGCUCUGCUGGACUGCAACUGACGCUGAUGCACGAAAGCUAGGGGAGCAAACAGG